UGUUUCGACACACUAUCAUUAACUGAAUCCAUAGGUUAAUGAGGCGAACCGGGGGAACUGAAACAUCUAAGUACCCCGAGGAAAAGAAAUCAACCGAGAUUCCCCCAGUAGCGGCGAGCGAACGGGGAGGAGCCCAGAGCCUGAAUCAGUGUGUGUGUUAGUGGAAGCGUCUGGAAAGGCGCGCGAUACAGGGUGACAGCCCCGUACACAAAAAUGCACAUACUGUGAGCUCGAUGAGUAGGGCGGGACACGUGGUAUCCUGUCUGAAUAUGGGGGGACCAUCCUCCAAGGCUAAAUACUCCUGACUGACCGAUAGUGAACCAGUACCGUGAGGGAAAGGCGAAAAGAACCCCGGCGAGGGGAGUGAAAAAGAACCUGAAACCGUGUACGUACAAGCAGUGGGAGCCUCUUAAUGGGGUGACUGCGUACCUUUUGUAUAAUGGGUCAGCGACUUAUAUUCUGUAGCAAGGUUAACCGAAUAGGGGAGCCGAAGGGAAACCGAGUCUUAACUGGGCGUUAAGUUGCAGGGUAUAGACCCGAAACCCGGUGAUCUAGCCAUGGGCAGGUUGAAGGUUGGGUAACACUAACUGGAGGACCGAACCGACUAAUGUUGAAAAAUUAGCGGAUGACUUGUGGCUGGGGGUGAAAGGCCAAUCAAACCGGGAGAUAGCUGGUUCUCCCCGAAAGCUAUUUAGGUAGCGCCUCGUGAAUUCAUCUCCGGGGGUAGAGCACUGUUUCGGCAAGGGGGUCAUCCCGACUUACCAACCCGAUGCAAACUGCGAAUACCGGAGAAUGUUAUCACGGGAGACACACGGCGGGUGCUAACGUCCGUCGUGAAGAGGGAAACAACCCAGACCGCCAGCUAAGGUCCCAAAGUCAUGGUUAAGUGGGAAACGAUGUGGGAAGGCCCAGACAGCCAGGAUGUUGGCUUAGAAGCAGCCAUCAUUUAAAGAAAGCGUAAUAGCUCACUGGUCGAGUCGGCCUGCGCGGAAGAUGUAACGGGGCUAAACCAUGCACCGAAGCUGCGGCAGCGACACUAUGUGUUGUUGGGUAGGGGAGCGUUCUGUAAGCCUGUGAAGGUGUACUGUGAGGUAUGCUGGAGGUAUCAGAAGUGCGAAUGCUGACAUAAGUAACGAUAAAGCGGGUGAAAAGCCCGCUCGCCGGAAGACCAAGGGUUCCUGUCCAACGUUAAUCGGGGCAGGGUGAGUCGACCCCUAAGGCGAGGCCGAAAGGCGUAGUCGAUGGGAAACAGGUUAAUAUUCCUGUACUUGGUGUUACUGCGAAGGGGGGACGGAGAAGGCUAUGUUGGCCGGGCGACGGUUGUCCCGGUUUAAGCGUGUAGGCUGGUUUUCCAGGCAAAUCCGGAAAAUCAAGGCUGAGGCGUGAUGACGAGGCACUACGGUGCUGAAGCGACAAAUGCCCUGCUUCCAGGAAAAGCCUCUAAGCAUCAGGUAACAUCAAAUCGUACCCCAAACCGACACAGGUGGUCAGGUAGAGAAUACCAAGGCGCUUGAGAGAACUCGGGUGAAGGAACUAGGCAAAAUGGUGCCGUAACUUCGGGAGAAGGCACGCUGAUAUGUAGGUGAAGCGACUUGCUCGUGGAGCUGAAAUCAGUCGAAGAUACCAGCUGGCUGCAACUGUUUAUUAAAAACACAGCACUGUGCAAACACGAAAGUGGACGUAUACGGUGUGACGCCUGCCCGGUGCCGGAAGGUUAAUUGAUGGGGUUAGCGGUAACGCGAAGCUCUUGAUCGAAGCCCCGGUAAACGGCGGCCGUAACUAUAACGGUCCUAAGGUAGCGAAAUUCCUUGUCGGGUAAGUUCCGACCUGCACGAAUGGCGUAAUGAUGGCCAGGCUGUCUCCACCCGAGACUCAGUGAAAUUGAACUCGCUGUGAAGAUGCAGUGUACCCGCGGCAAGACGGAAAGACCCCGUGAACCUUUACUAUAGCUUGACACUGAACAUUGAGCCUUGAUGUGUAGGAUAGGUGGGAGGCUUUGAAGUGUGGACGCCAGUCUGCAUGGAGCCGACCUUGAAAUACCACCCUUUAAUGUUUGAUGUUCUAACGUGGGCCCCUUACCGGGGUUGCGGACAGUGUCUGGUGGGUAGUUUGACUGGGGCGGUCUCCUCCUAAAGAGUAACGGAGGAGCACGAAGGUUGGCUAAUCCUGGUCGGACAUCAGGAGGUUAGUGCAAUGGCAUAAGCCAGCUUGACUGCGAGCGUGACGGCGCGAGCAGGUGCGAAAGCAGGUCAUAGUGAUCCGGUGGUUCUGAAUGGAAGGGCCAUCGCUCAACGGAUAAAAGGUACUCCGGGGAUAACAGGCUGAUACCGCCCAAGAGUUCAUAUCGACGGCGGUGUUUGGCACCUCGAUGUCGGCUCAUCACAUCCUGGGGCUGAAGUAGGUCCCAAGGGUAUGGCUGUUCGCCAUUUAAAGUGGUACGCGAGCUGGGUUUAGAACGUCGUGAGACAGUUCGGUCCCUAUCUGCCGUGGGCGCUGGAGAACUGAGGGGGGCUGCUCCUAGUACGAGAGGACCGGAGUGGACGCAUCACUGGUGUUCGGGUUGUCAUGCCAAUGGCACUGCCCGGUAGCUAAAUGCGGAAGAGAUAAGUGCUGAAAGCAUCUAAGCACGAAACUUGCCCCGAGAUGAGUUCUCCCUGACUCCUUGAGAGUCCUGAAGGAACGUUGAAGACGACGACGUUGAUAGGCCGGGUGUGUAAGCGCAGCGAUGCGUUGAGCUAACCGGUACUAAUGAACCGUGAGGCUUAACCUU
rnacentral:rRNA from 1 species